rnacentral:rRNA from 1 species
GAUGAACGCUGGCGGCGUGCUUAACACAUGCAAGUCGAACGAUGAAGCCCAGCUUGCUGGGUGGAUUAGUGGCGAACGGGUGAGUAACACGUGAGUAACCUGCCCUUAACUCUGGGAUAAGCCUGGGAAACUGGGUCUAAUACCGGAUAGGAGCGUCCACCGCAUGGUGGGUGUUGGAAAGAUUUAUCGGUUUUGGAUGGACUCGCGGCCUAUCAGCUUGUUGGUGAGGUAAUGGCUCACCAAGGCGACGACGGGUAGCCGGCCUGAGAGGGUGACCGGCCACACUGGGACUGAGAAACGGCCCAGACUCCUACGGGAGGCAGCAGUGGGGAAUAUUGCACAAUGGGCGCAAGACUGAUGCAGCGACGCCGCGUGAGGGAUGACGGCCUUCGGGUUGUAAACCUCUUUCAGUAGGGAAGAAGCGAAAGUGACGGUACCUGCAGAAGAAGCACCGGCUAACUACGUG